UGCCGCGUGAGUGAAGAAGGCCUUCGGGUUGUAAAGCUCUUUUGUCAGGGAAGAAACGGGAUUUUCUAAUACAGAGUCCUAAUGACGGUACCUGAAGAAUAAGCACCGGCUAACUACGUGCCAGCAGCCGCGGUAAUACGUAGGGUGCAAGCGUUAAUCGGAAUUACUGGGCGUAAAGCGUGCGCAGGCGGUUGUGUAAGACAGGUGUGAAAUCCCCGGGCUUAACCUGGGAAUGGCAUUUGUGACUGCUGGGCUUGCGUGUGUCAAAGGGGGGUAGAAUUCCACGUGUAGCAAUGAAAUGGGUAAAGAUGUGGAGGAAUACCGAUGGCGAAGGCAGCCCCCUGGGAUAACACUGACGCUCAUGCACGAAAGCGUGGGGAGCAAACAGGAUUAGAUACCCUGGUAGUCCACGCCCUAAACGAUGUCUACUAGUUGUCGGGUCUUAAUUGACUUGGUAACGCAGCUAACGCGUGAAGUAGACCGCCUGGGGAGUACGGUCGCAAGAUUAAAACUCAAAGGAAUUGACGGGGACCCGCACAAGCGGUGGAUGAUGUGGAUUAAUUCGAUGCAACGCGAAAAACCUUACCUACCCUUGACAUGUAAGGAAUCCUGAAGA
rnacentral:rRNA from 1 species